UACGUAGGUGGCAAGCGUUGUCCGGAUUUACUGGGCGUAAAGGGUAUGCAGGCGGGUUUUUAAGUAGAAAGUGAAAGGUUGGAGCUCAACUCCGACACUGCUUUCUAUACUGGGAGCCUUGAGUGCCGGAGAGGAAGAGGGAACUGCACGUGUAGCGGUGAUAUGCGUUGAGAUGUGCAGGAACACCAAUGGCGAAAGCACUCUUCUGGACGGUUACUGACGCUGAGAUACGAAAGCCAAGGGAGCGAAC
rnacentral:rRNA from 1 species